rnacentral:lncRNA from 1 species
GCUCCGCCCCGCCCCGCCCGACUCUGGCGUACCUCCAGCGCGCUGUCUGACCCGGCCGCGUCCUACCCCUCCUGCGGGCACCGGCCCCAGGAUGGCCUGACUGGUGUUCUCUGAGUACAGCUGAGGCACCCAGCUGACUCCCUGAGUGCUGUUUCAAGAACGAAUCCUGUCCCGUCCCUCCCUCCCUGAGGAGGCCAUCAGUCUCCUUGCUGAAACAAUCCCCUAUCCAACUGGCUGAGAAACCAGCUCCUGGUAGACAAGGCAGUACGGUGUUUUUGGAGAGCCCACGCAGGUCUCAUUCUCUCUCCAUUUCUGGGCCUUCAAGUCCUGAGGAUCAGUUUCUGAUGUGGGACAGGGAUACAGCCACCCCUCCCAGGCAGCUGGCAGCAAAACAUGAGAGGAAAACAGCAGAGAGCCUCCCAUUCCUUGGCUGCUGUGGUCAGAGCUCCCACCCUCCAAGAGAAGAUGGUCUUGAGGAUCUAGCUUUACAGUGGCUGCAUGGCCUCCCCUUCCCACCCACCUGCUGGAAGAAGCCAUGCAGGGCCUGGAGUGUGGUGUUCGAGAGGGUAGACAGGUCAGCCAAAGCCACACCUUGCAGAACAUCACCCACCUCUUCAUGAGAGAGGACACUGCUACUCCGGUACCGCAUAAACUGGCCAAGGAAGAGAAGCCCCAAACACCCAGUGAUUUGGCAUCUCCAUCAUAGACAUCUGCUGUGCCCCAACUUUAGGGGACACUGUCCUGAGGCCCACAGAACCUGCCUGCCUUCAAGGAGCUCAGAGUUAGUGGGCAGAGGUGGGGCUAUGUCAUGGGGAAGUGGGGUAAGUAAGGCAAACUGUGAGAUCCUGAGAGAGUUGGCCCUCCUGGCCCCUUUGGCCUUGGCUCCCUCCUCUCCAACAUUGCACUGAACACUCAGGGCCAAAAUCAACUACGUGUGGCUCCCCUGACAUACCACCAUGUGCUCUUGUACCUGUUGUUCUUACUCCACUACCUGGAACACCUUUCCUCCUCUCUGCCUAUUAAUCUCUCAAGCCACAGCUAAAAUGUUUCCUUCACUGCUGAGAAGCUAUUACUCUUUCCUCUUUGUUCCUACACCAACCACUGAUGUACUUGUUGAUCCACUUCGCUGUCAUUCUUAGGCUCGCUGCUUUGUUAUUUAUUCAAGGGGCACUUACUGUGUGCCUCGCAGUUAGCAUCUCCUCUACUCUACCACUUGUAGUGUCAUAUUUACAUUACUAGUUUACUUG